rnacentral:ncRNA from 1 species
GUGCUGCAUGGUUGUCGUCAGCUCGUGUCGUGAGAUGUUUGGUCAAGUCCUAUGACGAGCGAAACCCUUGUUUUGUGUUGCUGAGACAUGCGCCUAAGGAGAAAUUGCCACCGAGGGAAUCAACUCUUAUUGCC